rnacentral:rRNA from 1 species
GUANACUCCUACGGGGAGGCACAGUGGGGGAAUAUUGCACAAUGGGGCGCAAGCCUGAUGCAGCCCAUGCCGCGUGUAUGAAGAAGGCCUUCGGGUUGUUAAAGUACUUUCAGCAGUGAGGAAGGUGGGUAUGUUAAUAGCAUACUCAUUUGACGUUAGCUGCAGAAGAAGCACCGGCUAACUCCGUGCCAGCAGCCGCGGUAAUACGGAGGGUGCGAGCGUUAAUCGGAAUUACUGGGCGUAAAGCGCAUGCAGGUGGUUUGUUAAGUCAGAUGUGAAAGCCCGGGGCUCAACCUCGGAAUUGCAUUUGAAACUGGCAAACUAGAGUACUGUAGAGGGGGGUAGAAUUUCAGGUGUAGCGGUGAAAUGCGUAGAGAUCUGAAGGAAUACCGGUGGCGAAGGCGGCCCCCUGGACAGAUACUGACACUCAGAUGCGAAAGCGUGGGGAGCAAACAGGAUUAGAUACCCUGGUAG